CAGUAGCCGCGGGAAUACGGAGGGCGCGAGCGUUACCCGGAUUUACUGGGCGUAAAGGGCGUGUAGGCGGCCUGGGGCGUCCCAUGUGAAAGGCCACGGCUCAACCGUGGAGGAGCGUGGGAUACGCUCAGGCUAGAGGGUGGGAGAGGGUGGUGGAAUUCCCGGAGUAGCGGUGAAAUGCGCAGAUACCGGGAGGAACGCCGAUGGCGAAGGCAGCCACCUGGUCCACUUCUGACGCUGAGGCGCGAAAGCGUGGGGAGCAAACCGGAUUAGAUACCCGAGUAGUCCCUGUCUCUUAUAC
rnacentral:rRNA from 1 species